rnacentral:rRNA from 1 species
UACGUAGGGUGCAAGCGUUGUCCGGAAUUAUUGGGCGUAAAGAGCUCGUAGGCGGUCUGUCGCGUCUGGUGUGAAAACUCAGGGCUUAACCCUGAGCUUGCAUCGGGUACGGGCAGGCUAGAGUGUGCUAGGGGAGAUCGGAAUUCCUGGUGUAGCGGUGAAAUGCGCAGAUAUCAGGAGGAACACCGGUGGCGAAGGCGGAUCUCUGGGCCAUUACUGACGCUGAGGAGCGAAAGCCAGGGGAGCAAACGGG